UUUUCCGGCUCCCUCACCCUAACUUCUUCUCCUUCUCCUUCGGCUGAAACCCUAACACACUCACCCCAUUUCUUCUAUUUCGACUGAAACCCUAUCAAACUAAAUUUCAUCACUUUGUUCUUGUGCUCCUCUCGGUCUCCAUCUCUAACCUAAAUUAAGAAAGAUGAGGCAAUAACCCCAUAUGCUUCACCUUACCAGAACGCUGCUCUCUUCUCCAUCUUCUUCAUCUCCCUCCUCCUAAUCAGAGAAACGAAACCAUAAUCCAUAUACCCAUAAAUCAAUACUCUAAUUUCAUUGGAAAUAGAUACCGAACCAAGUAGAUCUGAUGUUCUCUUAAGAUUUGGAUUGAAAUUAGAGUUUUGAUUUGGGGAUUUUGUUAGGGUUUCUUUUGAUUUCAUAGAAAAUGCUUUACUUUUGGUUUGAUUUCAACAAACUUUAUCAGCAAUCAGUAGAAGAACAUUCAACAUCUUCACUUGAAUUUGUUGAAGAUUCUCAGGUAAUGGAGAUGGUUGUGCUUUUGAUUGUCAUUUAUAGGUCAGUGGCAUGUCAUUGGUGAAUUUUGUUGGUGUUGCUGCUAGGCAUGCAACAUAUGUUUCACACACAGCUGGUAGGUACUCAGCAAAAAGGUUUAGGAAUGCCCAAUGUCCAAUUGUAGAGAGGCUUACCAAUUCCCUGAUGAUGCAUGGGCGGAACAAUGGGAAGAAGAUCAUGGCAGUUCGCAUAUUUAAGCAUGGUAUGGAUAUCAUCCAUCUCCUCACAGACCAAAACCCCAUCCAAUUUAUUGUUGAUGUUGUCAUCAACAGGUGGUCCCCAGUUUAAGCUGUUGUAUCAUGAUACGGGUAAAUGGAAUGAGGACUGGAAUGAGUUUAAUGACGGAAAAAAAUCAAAAGAACAUCCAAAGAUUCAUCAAGCAAUCUCACUCUGAGUCUCGCCCAAAAAUUCUUGAAGUCCAUCUUCCAGAGGACCCAUUCUUGCAGAUUGCUGCUGGUUUGAGAAUUGAAAUUAACAGGGAUUUAACUUUCUUGCGCGAGAUUGCUUCAGGACAUGAUUUGAAGGAGUUUCUUGAUGUAAGUUCAUUGGCUGGUUUUACUUGUUCAUUAACUUGUUAUCAAGGAUUCUACCACUAUAACAUAUAGCUGGAGCUACCUGGAAUUUUUGCGGUCCCAGGCAGGAUUAUAAUGUUGUUAGUACAUGGAAAACAUGCUAGAUUGGCAUGGAUCUUGUUCCAAGUUAUUCUACCAAACACACGAGUUUUGAUUGAGUUAGAAUUUUUUGUUGAUGAAAACUCGCAAUUGAAGGCCAUUGAUUUUGGCUUGUCCGAUUUUGUGAAACCAGGUGAUUUUUUACUCUCUUGGGUGCUGACCGUGUUAUUCAGAAGUAAAAUUAGUCUUCUUUAGCUUUGGCUGUUAAAAAUAGGUUUCUAACUUCUAAUUAAUCUGACACGAUGCAGAUGAAAGGCUUAAUGACAUCGUUGGCAGGUCUUCCUUGGAUUAUUAACUACAAUGAUAUUCAGGCUCAUGAAAGCCUAUAUGCGCUCAUCAUCUCUACAUAAAGCUGCGUUAAGAGGAAAUAAGAGACUUGGACAAAAAUGUUUAAGUAGAAACUCCUCAGAAGUCAGGUGCUGAUGGCAAGAAAGGUGGUGCUGUUCGUCAAGGUACUCCUUACCCCAAGGGAGGAAAGACCCCUGCAAGUGGAGGCAAGUCAAACAAAUCUCUAAAAUCUACUGGGUCAGUUUCCUGCGAUUCUUGUACCAAGUAAGGGCAUUCGGUACAGUUUGGGCAUUCGGUACAGUUCACAGUCAAGAACUGCAAUAGGUUGUUGGUGUCUACUAGUUUGUUCAGACACUUAUUUUUUGGUGCCCAGGAAGUUUGUUUUCUUACUUGCAAUCAUAUAUUUGUUUCUUUGUUCAUAAUGAAUAGAAUGAUUUUUGGUAAACGUGUAUGUAUGAAUUGUAAAUUGUGGAUAGUUUGCAAAUUGAGAAUGUUCGACAGAUUGAAAAAUACAAAA